AACGAACGCUGGCGGCAGGCUUAACACGUGCAAGUCGAACGCCCGUAGCAAUACGGGAGUGGCAGACGGGUGAGUAACGCGUGGGAAUCUCCCCAAAGGUACGGAACAACUCAGGGAAACUUGAGCUAAUACCGUAUGUGCCCGAGAGGGCAAAGAUUUAUCGCCUUUGGAUGAGCCCGCGUUGGAUUAGCUAGUUGGUGGGGUAAUGGCCUACCAAGGCGACGAUCCAUAGCUGAUCUGAGAGGAUGAUCAGCCACACUGGGACUGAGACACGGCCCAGACUCCUACGGGAGGCAGCAGUGGGGAAUCUUGGACAAUGGGCGAAAGCCUGAUCCAGCCAUGCCGCGUGAGUGAAGAAGGCCUUAGGGUUGUAAAGCUCUUUUGCCCGGGAAGAUAAUGACGGUACCGGGAGAAUAAGCCCCGGCAAACUUCGUGCCAGCAGCCGCGGUAAUACGAAGGGGGCUAGCGUUGUUCGGAUUUACUGGGCGUAAAGCGCACGUAGGCGGAUGGUU
rnacentral:rRNA from 1 species